ACGGCCUACGGGGGGCAGCAGUGGGGAAUAUUGCACAAUGGGGGGAACCCUGAUGCAGCGACGCCGCGUGGGUGAAGAAGUCAUUCGGUAUGUAAAGCUCUAUCAGCAGGGAAGAAAAAAGACGGUACCUGACUAAGAAGCCCCGGCUAACUACGUGCCAGCAGCCGCGGUAAUACGUAGGGGGCGAGCGUUAUCCGGAUUCACUGGGUGUAAAGGGAGCGUAGACGGCCAUGCAAGCCAGGGGUGAAAGCCCGGGGCCCAACCCCGGGACUGCCCUUGGAACUGCAUGGCUGGAGUGCGGGAGG
rnacentral:rRNA from 1 species